UGUUUCCGGAAACGGGGCCUCAGAAAGGUGGGACUUACAGCUGGGAGCAGAUGGCAGCGGUGUCAAUUGGUCAGGGACGAGAUCGACGGUGGCACUGCCAAAUGGGAACAAGCAAUUGCCAAAGGGACCCGCCCACAGAAGGGAAACAGAGGAGGUGGCGGCUGUAGUGGCGGUCGCCGCCGGACACUGCUCAGCGCGGGGGACUGGUCGCACACAAAGCUUAUCUUUGACCUCUUCCCGUCAGUCUUCGGCCUCCAUUUAUGACCCUAGGCUCUUUGGCCUCCUCUGACCCAGCUAGCCACACCUCAGACCCAAGCCAUGUUUCCGGUGAAGGUGAAAGUGGAGAAAUCAGAGUUGGAGAUGGCCAAGGCCCGGAACCAACUUGAUGCUGUCCUGCAGUGUCUGCUGGAGAAGAGUCACAUGGACAGCAGGGAGCGCCUAGAGGAGGAAGCUGGGAAAACCCCCUCGGACACCCACAACAAGGAUUGUUCCAUUGCAUCUACCGGCAAACGACCAUCCGCCCGCUUCCCCCACCAGCGGAGGAAGAAGAGGAGGGAGAUGGAUGACGGGCUGGCUGAGGGAGGGCCGCAGCGAUCCAACACAUAUGUGAUCAAGCUGUUUGACCGGAGUGUGGACUUGGCUCAGUUCAGUGAGAACACACCAUUGUACCCAAUCUGCCGUGCCUGGAUGCGCAACAGCCCCUCAGUGCGCGAGCGAGAACGCUCACCCAGCUCACCACUGCCCCCACUGCCUGAGGAUGAGGAGAGUUCAGAGGUCACCAGCAGCAAGAGUCGCGAUGUGUACAAGCUGCCUCCACCCACAGCCGCUGGGCCAUCUGGUGAUGCUUGCAGGUCCCGAAUUCCAUCCCCGCUGCAGCCUGAGACCCAGGGUACCCCCGAUGAUGAGCCUGGCUUCUCUGUCCACUCAGCCCUCCGAGCCUGAGCCCUCACCAUCCACACUCAUCUACCGCAACAUGCAGCGCUGGAAACGCAUCCGCCAGAGGUGGAAGGAGGCAUCUCAUCGGAACCAGCUUCGGUACUCAGAAAGCAUGAAGAUCCUACGGGAGAUGUAUGAGCGCCAGUGAUGUUCCCCUGCUCCCCACAUCCCCCCAAUAAACAUUCCCCUCCUUCACACCUUCA